rnacentral:rRNA from 1 species
GGGGCUUAAGGGGGGGAGGAUCCGUGCCCCAGGGCCCCUUUGUGAAUUAUGCGUUAUUGUUGCCUCGGCGCAGGGCGGCCUCUCCUGAGGCCCCUCCGGAAGGAGGAGCAGCCCGCCGGCGGCCAGCUAAACUCUUGUUUCUUAGUGAAUCUCUGAGUAAAAAAACACAAAUGAAUCAAAACUUUCAACAACGGAUCUCUUGGUUCUGGCAUCGAUGAAGAACGCAGCGAAAUGCGAUAAGUAAUGUGAAUUGCAGAAUUCAGUGAAUCAUCGAAUCUUUGAACGCACAUUGCGCCCUUUGGUAUUCCGAAGGGCAUGCCUGUUCGAGCGUCAUUUCAACCCUCAAGCCUGGCUUGGUGUUGGGGCACUACUCCGAAGAGGAGUAGGCCCUGAAAUCUAGUGGCGAGCUCGCCAGGACCCCGAGCGUAGUAGUUUAUAUCUCGUUCUGGAAGGCCCUGGCGGUGCCCUGCCGUUAAACCCCCAACUUCUGAAAAUUUGACCUCGGAUCAGGUAGGAAUACCCGCUGAACUUAAGCAUAUCAAUAAGCGGAGGAA